UGUCAUCCUGCCACAGGAAAAUUCACUGGUUAGACAAGUGUUCAUUUGAACUUUUUAAGUGAUGACGUAAUUCCUGUCAAUCAUAAUGAAGGUACUUCAGUCUUCAGCACCGACCCAAGUUGGAAUAUGAUGUUUCGUUAGCCAUGUUGAGCCGGACUGUAAAGAUCGUAGCUUGAAAUUGACUGCAGCAAGCGACAGAAAACAUAGAUGCUUUCGCUAGCUCUGGAUCUGUCACAUACAGAAGAAGAAAUCUUGAAUCAAGUUGGAGCAUACUAAAAGAUUUAGCAACUUCAUUUAUGGUGUCAAGUGCCAUCUAGAAUUUUUAAUUUGCACUUUGCAGGUACCCAACCCCUUCAUGCUCGAUCUUCUACUAUUUUCUGUUUGGUCUAUAUAUUGUUGCAUGAUUUAAUAGAUUAUGUCUUCAUUUGUCAAUUGCAUAGCCAAGUAAAUUGCUCCUGCUAGUGGCCACCUUCUCUUUUGUAACCGAGUUAGUCAUGUUGUCAUUGCAAAAAUGUCACUACGUAUUCGUUUUGUGCGUAUGACUGAAGAAAUGAAUCUCUAUACAAAAAGAGUCGGUCUAAUUGUUAGCUUAGGAUGGCCGAAAAGUCGAUAAUGCUCUUAUUUGACUACCUCUUUUUGAACCGAAAUCUAACUAUUAUGUAGUUCAUUAAGAAUGUAUUGGUAAACUUUUGUGGUGUAGUUGUCUAACAGGGAGAUAGACGUUCCGUACAAAAUAUAAAACGUUACUUUCUCACAAAUAGCGGAGCUGAAGCUUUGAAAGCCUGAGGUUAAGGCUUUUUAGCUUGAAAAGGGUGGAAUAUGUGGAUAGUGGAUUGAAGUAAUAAACUUCUAAUUAUAGGAUGGCAAUCGAUUUCAACAAAACGUCUGAUAAUUUCCCCUGUUACCGAUGUAGAGUCAAAAGUGUGAUAAUUGGUGUCGGUUUUUGAGUACUGCAUAAAGUAGCAUAGCUUGUAUUUAUUAUAUGCCUGCUCUUAUAAUAAGUUAAAAGAGCUUUAACCUUUCGUCCUUGUUGUAAUCAAGGAUUAUAGAUUUGCAUCCAACAUUAUUGAUUAACUAAUCAUUCUAGAUCUUUGGGUUGA